CCUGUCUCGGAUGUGCUGCAGCAUUUCUUACGGUAGAGGUAAAGAAAACGUUCGUUGCAACUACGCAAUAA